ensembl:lncRNA
UGAUACUGGUACCUUCAUUACUCAAGAUAUGGGCAGGAGUUCUCAAAGUAUGGUCAAAGCUAUUCACUAGCCGAGAACAAGAAAGAGGAGUAGUUGGAUGUGGAGUACAUCUCUCUCCAUGGAUGCAUCAGGAAUAUACCUUCAGACACAGAAGUGCAUGCAGAACACCCGCUGAGAGCAGAAAGGAGUACCUGACCAGUGGAAAAGAAUAAAUAGACCCAUGCAAAACUCGGUAGGAUGAAGGAACUAGGGGGAAAAACAGGAGUGUUAGUAGGACUGGACCUCCCCUUGGCUGGUGGGGGAACUGAAGCAGGGGUCCGAUCCCCAUAAUGGGGCAAUUUUCAGAGUCAGAGGAGAAACAUUUAAGGCUGAGAGUGAAACAGCUGAACUGUGGCAGACUAAAUGGAAUGAGAAUCUGUCCUCACCAUAGCCAUACAUACCCCCAACAGGGACACAGGUGCCCUGGAAAGUGCAGUGGCUUUGAGCUGGAGUUUAGGGAUCGUGGAGCAAUCCCAGGGCAAAGGCUGCUGUUGACUGAGGAAAGAUGGAUCGAGGGGAUGUGAGGGAGGAGACUGUGGCAGAAAUGCCUGUAGAAGAAAGCCAGGCAGCCAUGGAAGCAAGGCAAUACUACUGAGUCACACAUAGGGAGUGGAGCCAUCACCAUAGCCUCUCUGUCCCCACAAGCCAGCAUCUGGCAGCUGAACAAUAGAGAGGCUAGCCCAUCAAACACCUGAAGGCACUGAACUACAGAGUAGAACCCCAGCCAGGGUGACCCCCUGUAUGUGCCUGACGCAUUGAACAACAGAGAAGGACCCCAGGCAAGGGAGCCCUCUAAAUGCCUGAAUGGGCAGAGCUUUGGAGAAAGACUGGCCAAAGAGAUCUUCUGAUCACCAGCUACAAGAGACUCAAAAAAAGACUGAGAGGGCCAUAACUCCUGCGGUGGAGGCAAUUCAUGUCCCUGUACACUUGGUGCUGCCAGGGUCCCUGCAAGCCAAGCAGCUGUGCCAUCUUCAUGCUCAACUCUCACUGGGGCAGAGCUGUGACAGGCAAAAAAAUGUCUUGUAUCUGUGCACACAGGGUCACUUCAGUAGUGUCCAACUCUUUGCAACCCUGUAGACUGUGGUCUGUCAGGCUUCUCUGUCAGGGAGGGGAGUUCUCCAGGCAAGAAUACUGGAGCGUAUUGGCCAAUACUGGUUGCCAUGCCCUUCU